UGGAUACUCCCUCCGUCCGAAAAAGCUUGUCCCAAGUUUGUCUCUCAAAUGAAUGUAUUUAGCACUAACUUGGUGCUAGAUACAUUCAUUUGAAGGAGAAGCUUUUCCGGACGGAGGGAGUAAAUA
rfam:Triticum urartu cultivar G1812 contig8104, whole genome shotgun sequence.